AGAGUUUGAUCCUGGCUCAGGAUGAACGCUAGCGACAGGCCUAACACAUGCAAGUCGAGGGGCAACAUGGUAUCAGCUUGCUGAUACCGAUGGCGACCGGCGCACGGGUGAGUAACGCGUAUGUAAUCUACCUGUAACAGAGGGAUAACCCGGAGAAAUCCGGACUAAUACCUCAUAGCACAUAUUAUUCGCAUGAAUUUUAUGUUAAAGAGACUCGGUUACAGAUGAACAUGCGUUCCAUUAGCUGGUUGGCGGGGUCACGGCCCACCAAGGCAACGAUGGAUAGGGGUUCUGAGAGGAAGGUCCCCCACACUGGUACUGAGACACGGACCAGACUCCUACGGGAGGCAGCAGUGAGGAAUAUUGGUCAAUGGGCGGAAGCCUGAACCAGCCAAGUCGCGUGGAGGAAGACGGCCCUACGGGUUGUAAACUCCUUUUACCUGGGAAUAACGGGCGCUACGCGUAGCGCUGUGCAAGUACCGGGAGAAUAAGCAUCGGCUAAUUCCGUGCCAGCAGCCGCGGUAAUACGGAAGAUGCGAGCGUUAUCCGGAUUUAUUGGGUUUAAAGGGUGCGUAGGCGGAAGAAUAAGUCAGCGGUGAAAUGCUUCAGCUCAACUGGAGAAUUGCCGAUGAAACUGUUUUUCUAGAGUAUAAAAGAGGUAUGCGGAAUGCGUGGUGUAGCGGUGAAAUGCAUAGAUAUCACGCAGAACCCCGAUUGCGAAGGCAGCAUACUGGGCUAUAACUGACGCUGAAGCACGAAAGCGUGGGUAUCGAACAGGAUUAGAUACCCUGGUAGUCCACGCCGUAAACGAUGAAUACUAACUGUUUGCGAUAUAAUGUAAGCGGUACAGCGAAAGCGUUAAGUAUUCCACCUGGGGAG
rnacentral:rRNA from 1 species